AUGCACAUUCAACCACUGUGUCCAGUGAUGUUGUCUGAAAACUCUUUAUCUCUUGUGGUUUCUCUGUCAGUGAGCAAGGCUGAGUGCUCUGAGGAAGAGUUCGGUCAGUUCCCGUACCGUCUGCUGGACUGGUUCCUACUCCUCAGCAGAAUGGGAGAGAGAUACACACCAGCCGCUCCCUCACAAAGCUGCCUCACACACACACAGCGAACCCAGCUUGCAGAGAGGAGGUUUGUUCUGCUGGAUCGUAAAAGGGACGGGAAGUUAAACAGGAGAGAUCUGAGAAAGCUCCACUACAAGCGGAUGCCACUGGAGCACUGCGCUCAAAGAUUCUUCCAGUAAAACACACACAGCCUAUAGACACACACAUGUGAUAUUGUGAUGUGUUCUUCUGUCUGACCUUCUAUGUAUUUGCAUAAUAUUACCGCAAACCCUCCCCAGCACCCUUCUGAUUAUAGUACACAUGCCUUCAGGAUGUCACCCACCCCUCUCUCUCAUCCUCUUUCAAUCUCUCUUCUCUCGCUCAUCCUCUCAAUCUCUCUCUCUCUCAUUCAAAGCUGUGAAUGCUUAUUGCCUUCCUACUGUUCUAAUGUGAGUGGUGUCCUUUACGGCUGAUAGCAGCGGAGAGAGACAUGUAGAAAUCAAAAACAAGAGAGAUAGAGGCAAAGAGAGUCCACUUGUAGAUUUCAACAUUAUGGUGUUUGUGUGUGUGCGUGUAGGUCAUGUGACAAGAACAAGAAUAAGAAGGUGACCCUGAGGGAGUGGACAUCCUGUCUGGUUGACCGGUCAGAACGCUGGUUUCAGGAUUUCAUGUGUAAGUCUAUAUUUGUUUCAUCAGAAUAUGAGAUUCUCAUGUGUAAGCACGUUCAAACACAUACACACACACACACACACACACAUCUUGUCCUUUUUUCCUCUCUCUACCGCAGCCGUGAAGAUGGGCUCACCAAAGCUGUGUCCUGUCCCAGACAACAACCUGUAAAUUUUGGAUGCUUUAUCCAGGUGGAAUCAUAUUUUAAACCUUAUAAUAUACCUAGAAGUAAUAAUAUUUUAUAACUGGAGACAGCUAGCCAUUUGCAUUCUUGUUGGAUUAGAAAUACAGCAAAUAGGGGUAAUGUGAAAUAUUCUUAGAAUUUAAAAUAACUAUUUUCUAUUUGAAAAUAUGUUAUAAAGUGUAAUUUAUUCCUGUGAUGUCAAAGCUGAUUUUUCAGCAGCCAUUACAUGAUCCUUUGGAAAUUAUUCUAAUAUGCUGAUUUACUACAUAAGAAACAUUUCUUAUUGUUAUCAUAAGAAUAAAAACUGUUGCUAUGAUUAAUAUUUUAAGGAUUACAAUAGAAAGUAAAAAAAAAACUUUUGUGAUAUUAUACAUUUCUUUACUGUCACUUUUGAUCAAUUUAAUACAUACAUGCUGAAUAAAAGUUUUUCUUUACCAAACAGGUUUUCUUUUCUUCUUUUCAACUUUUUCAAAAAAGUUUUUCUUUUACACUGCAGCAUUUGAAACACAAUAGCUGUUGCCCGAAAAGUGAAGGGGAUGAAAUAUCUGAAAGUUUGGGUUAGAAUAAUUGUUUACCUCUGUUAAAUUUAAAUAAAAAAAAUGGUGCAUAAUAAAAGUCUAAACAUUGCUUUGUGCACAUGUGUGUGUGUGCGCUGCACUCUAGUCAACAAAAACGGCUUUUUAAGGGACAGCAGCAUGUAUCAUGGAUCACACAAGCAAUUACUGCAGAGAGAGAAAGAGAGAGAGAUUGGGCUAUAACCUUAAACAGAGGAAUGGAGAGCAGAUUAAUUGAGGGGUGGUGUUUAAUAGGAGAGAGAUGGAGAGAGAGAUGGAUAGCCCAUGAGAGAGAUAAAAGACUACGUGAGCAGGGAUGAGAGGAAUAGAUAAUAUGGCAGAGAGAGAAACGGGGAAAGGCAAGGACACCGAAAGAGAGAGAGAAUCUCAUAAUGCACUCACAGAAUGGGACGGGGAGGGGGACAAGUUACAGUAAACCAUUGCAAAUGGAAGAGAGAAAAUAGAUUGAAGCAUGAAAAAUGGAUCAGAAAGAGAGAGACGGCGGGGGGAGGGGUGUGAGAGAGAGAGAGAAAGAGUUGCAGAAGGGUGUGAUAAAGGGUGAGAUUGUUAGAUGGAAAGAGAAAAAGAAGAGAGUAACUAAAUGGCAUCCCACCACAAAGUAACUUCCCCUUCCAGUACAUCAUUGAUGUCUUCCACUUUUCCAAACACUAAACGCUUCCAAUCAUGUCUGCCAAGUGUGAAAAAUUGAUUCGCAACAUUUGAAAACAAGAUCGAGUUUUCCAUGUCUAUAUGACCCAGGAAGUACGGCAGAAUAAUCCGGUCUCAUUACAUUUGUAGCUUUUUAAAGUGGGUUUGGUUUCCUGUAGCUUUAGUGCAGUCAAGAAUCAUCUGGCAGUAUCUUCUGCAUUGUUUGGCUUUAUGGUGCGGUUUGAUAUCUGUCAUUGUGUUGUGUGAUCAUUCUGUGUUGUGAC
ensembl:lncRNA